AGAGUUUGAUCCUGGCUCAGGAUGAACGCUGGCGGCGUGCUUAACACAUGCAAGUCGAACGGUGAAGCAGAGCUUGCUCUGUGGAUCAGUGGCGAACGGGUGAGUAACACGUGAGCAACCUGCCCCUGACUCUGGGAUAAGCGCUGGAAACGGCGUCUAAUACUGGAUAUGAGCUGCGACCGCAUGGUCAGCAGUUGGAAAGAUUUUUCGGUCUGGGAUGGGCUCACGGCCUAUCAGCUUGUUGGUGAGGUAAUGGCUCACCAAGGCGUCGACGGGUAGCCGGCCUGAGAGGGUGACCGGCCACACUGGGACUGAGACACGGCCCAGACUCCUACGGGAGGCAGCAGUGGGGAAUAUUGCACAAUGGGCGAAAGCCUGAUGCAGCAACGCCGCGUGAGGGAUGACGGCCUUCGGGUUGUAAACCUCUUUUAGCAGGGAAGAAGCGAAAGUGACGGUACCUGCAGAAAAAGCGCCGGCUAACUACGUGCCAGCAGCCGCGGUAAUACGUAGGGCGCAAGCGUUAUCCGGAAUUAUUGGGCGUAAAGAGCUCGUAGGCGGUUUGUCGCGUCUGCUGUGAAAUCCCGAGGCUCAACCUCGGGUCUGCAGUGGGUACGGGCAGACUAGAGUGCGGUAGGGGAGAUUGGAAUUCCUGGUGUAGCGGUGGAAUGCGCAGAUAUCAGGAGGAACACCGAUGGCGAAGGCAGAUCUCUGGGCCGUUACUGACGCUGAGGAGCGAAAGGGUGGGGAGCAAACAGGCUUAGAUACCCUGGUAGUCCACCCCGUAAACGUUGGGAACUAGUUGUGGGGUCCAUUCCACGGAUUCCGUGACGCAGCUAACGCAUUAAGUUCCCCGCCUGGGGAGUACGGCCGCAAGGCUAAAACUCAAAGGAAUUGACGGGGACCCGCACAAGCGGCGGAGCAUGCGGAUUAAUUCGAUGCAACGCGAAGAACCUUACCAAGGCUUGACAUAUACGAGAACGGGCCAGAAAUGGUCAACUCUUUGGACACUCGUAAACAGGUGGUGCAUGGUUGUCGUCAGCUCGUGUCGUGAGAUGUUGGGUUAAGUCCCGCAACGAGCGCAACCCUCGUUCUAUGUUGCCAGCACGUAAUGGUGGGAACUCAUGGGAUACUGCCGGGGUCAACUCGGAGGAAGGUGGGGAUGACGUCAAAUCAUCAUGCCCCUUAUGUCUUGGGCUUCACGCAUGCUACAAUGGCCGGUACAAAGGGCUGCAAUACCGUGAGGUGGAGCGAAUCCCAAAAAGCCGGUCCCAGUUCGGAUUGAGGUCUGCAACUCGACCUCAUGAAGUCGGAGUCGCUAGUAAUCGCAGAUCAGCAACGCUGCGGUGAAUACGUUCCCGGGUCUUGUACACACCGCCCGUCAAGUCAUGAAAGUCGGUAACACCUGAAGCCGGUGGCCCAACCCUUGUGGAGGGAGCCGUCGAAGGUGGGAUUGGUAAUUAGGACUAAGUCGUAACAAGGUAGCCGUACCGGAAGGUGCGGCUG
rnacentral:rRNA from 2 species